rnacentral:rRNA from 1 species
GACGAACGCUGGCGGCGUGCUUAACACAUGCAAGUCGAACGGAAGGGCCUCUUUCGGGGGGUACUCGAGUGGCGAACGGGUGAGUAACACGUGAGUAACCUGCCCUUGACUUUGGGAUAACUUCAGGAAACUGGGGCUAAUACCGGAUAGGAGCUCCUGCUGCAUGGUGGGGGUUGGAAAGUUUCGGCGGUUGGGGAUGGACUCGCGGCUUAUCAGCUUGUUGGUGGGGUAGUGGCUUACCAAGGCUUUGACGGGUAGCCGGCCUGAGAGGGUGACCGGCCACAUUGGGACUGAGAUACGGCCCAGACUCCUACGGGAGGCAGCAGUGGGGAAUAUUGCACAAUGGGUGGAAGCCUGAUGCAGCAACGCCGUGUGCGGGAUGACGGCCUUCGGGUUGGAAACCGCUUUCGCUCAUGACGAAGCUUUGUGUGACGGUAGUGGGUAAAGAAGCACCGGCUAACUACGUG